UACGUAGGGUGCGAGCGUUGUCCGGAAUUAUUGGGCGUAAAGGGCUCGUAGGCGGUGAAUCGGGUUGAAAGUGAAAGUCGCCAAAAAGUGGCGGAAUGCUCUCGAAACCAAUUCACUUGAGUGAGACAGAGGAGAGUGGAAUUUCGUGUGUAGGGGUGAAAUCCGUAAAUAUACGAAGGAACGCCAAAAGCGAAGGCAGCUCUCUGGGUCCCUACCGACGCUGGGGUGCGAAAGCAUGGGGAGCGAACAGG
rnacentral:rRNA from 1 species